AUUGAACGCUGGCGGCAUGCUUUACACAUGCAAGUCGAACGGUAACAGGGUGCUUGCACCGCUGACGAGUGGCGAACGGGUGAGUAAUGCGUCGGAACGUGCCGAGUAGUGGGGGAUAACGCAGCGAAAGUUGUGCUAAUACCGCAUACGUACUGAGGUAGAAAGUGGGGGACCUUCGGGCCUCACGCUAUUCGAGCGGCCGACGUCUGAUUAGCUAGUAGGUGAGGUAAAGGCUCACCUAGGCGACGAUCAGUAGCGGGUCUGAGAGGAUGAUCCGCCACACUGGGACUGAGACACGGCCCAGACUCCUACGGGAGGCAGCAGUGGGGAAUUUUGGACAAUGGGCGAAAGCCUGAUUCAGCCAUGCCGCGUGUCUGAAGAAGGCCUUCGGGUUGUAAAGGACCUUUGUCGGGGAGGAAAUCCCCAGCGCUAAUACCGCUGGGGGAUGACAGUACCUGAAGAAUAAGCACCGGCUAACUACGUGCCAGCCGCCGCGGUAAGAC
rnacentral:rRNA from 1 species